GAUUUCUGGCUUGAAACAUUUGGCCGGCCACGGUUUCGUGUGUUAGUGCUUUGUGUUCUGGCCAUCCUUCCAAUCGCUACUGGCUAUUCUUCAUUGAUUGGUCAGUGGUAUUGGAUCUUUUACUUGAAAAAAUUAGCACGGAAUAAUAAUUUAGGACUUCGGUUCUAUUUUGUUGGUUUCUAGGACUGAAGUAAUGAUUGAUAGGGAUAGUUGGGGGUGCUAGUAUUCAGCGGCCAGAGGUGAAAUUCUCGGAUUCGCUGAAGACUAACUUAUGCGAAAGCAUU
rnacentral:rRNA from 1 species